ensembl:antisense Gm16573 predicted gene 16573
CUUUCCACGGAGGUCAGGGAGGACGUCCGCAAGCUCCGGUUGAAAGACAAGCAUGCAGGCCUAAAGGGAGAAGGAGGCAGUGGAUCAGAGGUUCUCGCAGCUUACAUGGGAAAAUACUCUCAAUGCCAAAAGCUUCUAGGACCCGUGAGAGGCUCAGCAGGAAACAAGGACCAAGAGCUACCUUCACCCCACUAACACUGAAUGGAGUGGCAUAUACCUGUACUUCUAGUACCUGGGAGGUCACAAGUUCAAGGCCAGUGUGGGAUACAAAGAAAGUUUGAGACC